UACGUAGGGUGCAAGCGUUAAUCGGAAUCAUUGGGCGUAAAGGGUGCGUAGGCGGAUGUACAAGCUUGAUGUGAAAGCCCUGGGCUUAACCUAGGAACUGCAUUAAGUACGGUAUGUCUAGAGUUCGGUAGAGGGGGGUAGAAUUCCAUGUGUAGCAGUGAAAUGCGUAGAUAUAUGGAGGAAUACCGAUGGCGAAGGCAGCCCCCUGGGCCGAUACUGACGCUGAGGCACGAAAGCGUGGGGAGCAAACAGG
rnacentral:rRNA from 1 species